UCAUGUUCCCGUUUGACAUGUUAUAGAACAUAAUUAGAUGAACAGCCCGCGUCAUUACGUCACCGCGCCACGCCGUCCGACGUCCCUCCAGAAUUUCACUUAUCUACAUGCAGUUCGUCUUCGUUAUGGGACCGUAUACAGUUUUGGGUGUUUUUAUGUAAUUUUUUUACGAACGCUUUAAGUGCAGUUAAUUAUUUCUCAUGCUGUACGUGCUAAUAGACAACUGCUUGAAGCGGUGGGUGUGUCCCAAAUCGCGUAGUUACUGUCUAUAUAGUAGCCGAGAUACAUGUAUUUUUCCCCACUACAGGCCUAUAGUAGGAAAGUAUGCGAUUUGGGACACAGCCGAACUCUCUUGUUCGCCGUAAAACGUAAAACUGCCGUGUGUGAUCGUGUCCUGUCGCAAAAUGCGGUGAAAACUCCCACACGACGCUCAUAAUGUGAUUAAGGUGUUUACAUGUCACUACUACACGUCCAUAAUGUGACUAAAACAGGAAUACUCCACCUGUCUUAAUUCAAUUAUGACCUUAAUUAGAUUAAGGUACGGUACUCUGUGACGCCUGCAGCCCAGAAUCCGAGGCAGAGAAGGAGAUCGAGGAAAACCUCUGCAGAAGUUCGUUUGGCUUCAGCUUGGCUCCUCCUCCCUGGAGGGGACAGACCUGUGAAUGGAGUCUCAAGGGUGGAAUCGAGUCCUAUGUUGGGAAGGCACAGAGCAAGAACAACAGGUGGCAAUGCAGCAGAACACUGUCUGGCUGACAGACGCUGAUAACUGCUCAUGUCAGGCACUGGAUGGGCGGAGCUUAGGUCCACUUCUGGCAUUGGGGAAAAUGGAGGAUGGACGCAUUGUUCUCUUCCAACUCGUGAAAUGGCCUCACCAUGAGAGAGAGCUGAAAAAGUUCAUCAGGAAACUGUGCAAGAAGCCAUGCUGAAGUUCCUACUGAUAAAUGCGAAAAAUUGUUUGUGGUGUUGUCCGUUAGCAGCACCCUAAAUUUUAGUCAUGGUCAGUAUUUUUGAAAAACAUUUUUCUUCAACACAUUUUGCUUAAGUUGAAAGGUGAGGCCUGGUAGUUUGAUGUCGGGUGAAAAGAAAAUUGGUUAUAUAAGCUUUAAGGAAUUAAAUAAGUUUAUUAGAAGGCAGAUUUACACCCAAUUUACUGUCAGCAGGAGUGGAGCUAGCAUUUACUUGAUAUUUACUAGCAAACAUGGUGAAUGGUUUUAAUUAUAGAUGAUUGUAAUUAGCCUAAUGUUAACUAGCUUCCUAGUGCUUUGAUUUACUUACGAAACACAAUACUUACCCUGUGCUUAGCUUUCUUGUUAGCUAACUUAGCUAGUCACUAAGCUCCAGAAGUUACUGCUGGAGAGAACAUUAGCUGAGCUAACUACACAGCAAUGUUGACACAUGUGCACUUUGGAAUUUUUGUGUGUUUAACUGUGUUAAUAGCUGCACUAUAUUAAUUAAGCUAAUUUCAUCUGGACACUAUUUUUAGAAAGUGUUUAAUCAAAGAGUUGGAUUUUUAAAGUGCAAUCAAUUAUGACAUUUUCUUUAUUUUUACAUGCCAGAUUAAAUAAAAUUUUUUAUUAGGUUUUAAUUUUAGGUGGUCUUUCUAUUUUGUUAUGAUUUAUUCACAAUCUGAUGCACUGUUGGUCUUGAUGUAAAACAAGUUUAAUGCAUUUCCUCAUGUGAUUUUUCUGACUAUGUGAAGUUUUAUGCUAACAUGAGUACUCGAUUAAAGGGAGAAUGUUUUCCUCA